rnacentral:rRNA from 1 species
UACGUAGGGUGCGAGCGUUGUCCGGAAUUAUUGGGCGUAAAGAGCUCGUAGGCGGUUCGUCGCGUCGAAUGUGAAAACCCGGGGCUCAACUCCGGGCCUGCAUUCGAUACGGGCGGACUAGAGUUCGGUAGGGGAGUCUGGAAUUCCUGGUGUAGCGGUGAAAUGCGCAGAUAUCAGGAGGAACACCGGUGGCGAAGGCGGGUCUCUGGGCCGAUACUGACGCUGAGGAGCGAAAGCGUGGGGAGCGAACAGG